rnacentral:rRNA from 1 species
AAUGAACGCUGGCGGCAUGCCUAACACAUGCAAGUCGAACGAAAGCACCGGGAGAGCUUGCUCUUGCGGGUGGCGGGCGGCGGACGGGUCACGUAUGUAUCGGAUACCUCUUCGACGUGGGUGAUAACGCAGGAAAACUUCUGCUAACACCGCAUAUAUCGUACGUGUGUGAGCAGGCGUUGUAGUCGCUUUUUGCGAUGGUAAGAGCCGACGACGGAUUAGCUAGUUGGCGGGGUAAAGGAUCACCUAAGCGACGCUGCGUAGCUGACCUGAGAGGAUGAUCGGCCACGCUGGAACGGAGACACGGUCCAGACUCCUACGGGAGGCAGCAGUGGGGAAUAUUGAGCAAUGGGAGCAAGCCUGACGAAGCCACACCGCGUGAAUGAAGAAGGCCUUCGGGUCGUAAAACUCUGUUAUUGGGGAAGAAAAGAAGUGUAUUUAACCCGGGAUGUUAUGACGGUACCCAAAGAAAAAGCCCCGGCUAACUUCGUG